GUUUACGUCCCCAGGUUAGUACCUAGCAACAUGGUGGACUCCCAGGAAGUCAGUUCUUCUCAGGUGGUACAGACACAGAAUAUUUCAAGGACCUCCAGAGCCUUCUGACCAACUACCUGCGAUCUCUCCAGAGCACAGAGAAGUUAGUCUGCUGGGCCAUGGAACUCUAGAGCAGCACAUCAAAACAUGCUACCCUGUUGUCAGCAGGCCGUUCCAUGAGGAAGGAUAUAAUGGUCAAGGCUUUCAAUGGCUGAAUUUGAUGGAUGACUAAAUGCAAUAAAGCUGUGUCUAAACUAUG